UGGAUCCAGACUUUGAUCCUGGCUCAGGAUGAACGCUAGCUACAGGCUUAACACAUGCAAGUCGAGGGGAAACGACAUCGAAAGCUUGCUUUUGAUGGGCGUCGACCGGCGCACGGGUGAGUAACGCGUAUCCAACCUGCCCACCACUUGGGGAUAACCUUGCGAAAGUAAGACUAAUACCCAAUGACAUCCCACGAAGACAUCCGAAUGGGAUUAAAGAUUUAUCGGUGAUGGAUGGGGAUGCGUCUGAUUAGCUUGUUGGCGGGGUAACGGCCCACCAAGGCUACGAUCAGUAGGGGUUCUGAGAGGAAGGUCCCCCACAUUGGAACUGAGACACGGUCCAAACUCCUACGGGAGGCAGCAGUGAGGAAUAUUGGUCAAUGGGCGAGAGUCUGAACCAGCCAAGUAGCGUGCAGGAUGACGGCCCUAUGGGUUGUAAACUGCUUUUAUAAGGGAAUAAAGUGAGUCUCGUGAGACUUUUUGCAUGUACCUUAUGAAUAAGGACCGGCUAAUUCCGUGCCAGCAGCCGCGGUAAUACGGAAGGUCCGGGCGUUAUCCGGAUUUAUUGGGUUUAAAGGGAGCGUAGGCCGGAGAUUAAGCGUGUUGUGAAAUGUAGAGGCUCAACCUCUGCACUGCAGCGCGAACUGGUCUUCUUGAGUACGCACAACGUGGGCGGAAUUCGUGGUGUAGCGGUGAAAUGCUUAGAUAUCACGAAGAACUCCGAUUGCGAAGGCAGCUCACGGGAGCGCAACUGACGCUGAAGCUCGAAAGUGCGGGUAUCGAACAGGAUUAGAUACCCUGGUAGUCCGCACGGUAAACGAUGGAUGCCCGCUGUUGGCCUGAAUAGGUCAGCGGCCAAGCGAAAGCAUUAAGCAUCCCACCUGGGGAGUACGCCGGCAACGGUGCAACUCAAAUGAAUUGACGGA
rnacentral:rRNA from 1 species